CGAAAGGGAAACAGCCCAGACCACCAGCUAAGGUCCCAAAAUAUAUGUUAAGUGGAAAAGGAUGUGGCGUUGCCCAGACAACUAGGAUGUUGGCUUAGAAGCAGCCAUCAUUUAAAGAGUGCGUAAUAGCUCACUAGUCGAGUGACACUGCGCCGAAAAUGUACCGGGGCUAAACAUAUUACCGAAGCUGUGGAUUGUCCUUUGGACAAUGGUAGGAGAGCGUUCUAAGGGCGUUGAAGCAUGAUCGUAAGGACAUGUGGAGCGCUUAGAAGUGAGAAUGCCGGUGUGAGUAGCGAAAGACGGGUGAGAAUCCCGUCCACCGAUUGACUAAGGUUUCCAGAGGAAGGCUCGUCCGCUCUGGGUUAGUCGGGUCCUAAGCUGAGGCCGACAGGCGUAGGCGAUGGAUAACAGGUUGAUAUUCCUGUACCACCUAUAAUCGUUUUAAUCGAUGGGGGGACGCAGUAGGAUAGGCGAAGCGUGCGAUUGGAUUGCACGUCUAAGCAGUAAGGCUGAGUAUUAGGCAAAUCCGGUACUCGUUAAGGCUGAGCUGUGAUGGGGAGAAGACAUUGUGUCUUCGAGUCGUUGAUUUCACACUGCCGAGAAAAGCCUCUAGAUAGAAAAUAGGUGCCCGUACCGCAAACCGACACAGGUAGUCAAGAUGAGAAUUCUAAGGUGAGCGAGCGAACUCUCGUUAAGGAACUCGGCAAAAUGACCCCGUAACUUCGGGAGAAGGGGUGCUCUUUAGGGUUAACGCCCAGAAGAGCCGCAGUGAAUAGGCCCAAGCGACUGUUUAUCAAAAACACAGGUCUCUGCUAAACCGUAAGGUGAUGUAUAGGGGCUGACGCCUGCCCGGUGCUGGAAGGUUAAGAGGAGUGGUUAGCUUCUGCGAAGCUACGAAUCGAAGCCCCAGUAAACGGCGGCCGUAACUAUAACGGUCCUAAGGUAGCGAAAUUCCUUGUCGGGUAAGUUCCGACCCGCACGAAAGGCGUAACGAUUUGGGCACUGUCUCAACGAGAGACUCGGUGAAAUCAUAGUACCUGUGAAGAUGCAGGUUACCCGCGACAGGACGGAAAGACCCCGUGGAGCUUUACUGUAGCCUGAUAUUGAAAUUCGGCACAGCUUGUACAGGAUAGGUAGGAGCCUUUGAAACGUGAGCGCUAGCUUACGUGGAGGCGCUGGUGGGAUACUACCCUAGCUGUGUUGGCUUUCUAACCCGCACCACUUAUCGUGGUGGGAGACAGUGUCAGGCGGGCAGUUUGACUGGGGCGGUCGCCUCCUAAAAGGUAACGGAGGCGCUCAAAGGUUCCCUCAGAAUGGUUGGAAAUCAUUCAUAGAGUGUAAAGGCAUAAGGGAGCUUGACUGCGAGACCUACAAGUCGAGCAGGGUCGAAAGACGGACUUAGUGAUCCGGUGGUUCCGCAUGGAAGGGCCAUCGCUCAACGGAUAAAAGCUACCCCGGGGAUAACAGGCUUAUCUCCCCCAAGAGUUCACAUCGACGGGGAGGUUUGGCACCUCGAUGUCGGCUCAUCGCAUCCUGGGGCUGUAGUCGGUCCCAAGGGUUGGGCUGUUCGCCCAUUAAAGCGGUACGCGAGCUGGGUUCAGAACGUCGUGAGACAGUUCGGUCCCUAUCCGUCGU
rnacentral:rRNA from 1 species